rnacentral:rRNA from 1 species
GACGAACGCUGGCGGCGUGCUUAACACAUGCAAGUCGAACGGAAAGGCCCUGCUUUUGUGGGGUGCUCGAGUGGCGAACGGGUGAGUAACACGUGAGUAACCUGCCCUUGACUUUGGGAUAACUUCAGGAAACUGGGGCUAAUACCGGAUAGGAGCUCCUGCUGCAUGGUGGGGGUUGGAAAGUUUCGGCGGUUGGGGAUGGACUCGCGGCUUAUCAGCUUGUUGGUGGGGUAGUGGCUUACCAAGGCUUUGACGGGUAGCCGGCCUGAGAGGGUGACCGGCCACAUUGGGACUGAGAUACGGCCCAGACUCCUACGGGAGGCAGCAGUGGGGAGUAUUGCACAAUGGGCGGGAGCCUGAUGCAGCAACGCCGCGUGCGGGAUGACGGCCUUCGGGUUGUAAACCGCUUUCGCCUGUGACGAAGCGUGAGUGACGGUAAUGGGUAAAGAAGCACCGGCUAACUACGUG